GGGGUUGUGGCUCAGCGGUAGAGCGCUCGCCUCACACGUGUGAGGCCCUGGGUUCAACUCUCAGCACCACA
rnacentral:tRNA from 1 species